CUUCCCUCCCUUUCUCUAGCACCCCUGCCCUCUAACUGGCCUGACGAGAAAAACUGGAUUCCUAAGAUAACAAAUCUGCGCUACGGCCUAGUUACUGUGUGGCAGUGGGGUUUGUUAUGAGGGUGGCGCCGAUUCAUUUCUUUUGGCUAGAUGGUUUGUGUUGUUUCAUGUCGAUCAGUGAUAUCGAUCAUUCUGAGGAGGUAAUAGUUCUACAGGAAGUGAUCAUGUCCUCUAAAACCCUGUGAGGAGUCUCUACCUAGAGAGAUGUGAAGAGCACCGCCUAUAAGGGUUAGAAAACAGAGAGUGAGACACAGAAUGGUAGUUGACUGAGGAACGAGGUGAUUGAAAAAGAGGAUAAAUGUAAAAUGACAGGCAGAUCAGCAGACAUGUAGAGAGGACGUGGGAAGAGAAGUGGAAAAGGUUAGAGAGGACGUGGGAAGAGAAGUGGAAAAGGUUAGAGAGGACGUGGGAAGAGAAGUGGAAAAGGUUAGAGAGGACGUGGGAAGAGAAGUGGAAAAGGUUAGAGAGGACGUGGGAAGAGAAGUGGAAAAGGUUAGAGAGGACGUGGGAAGAGAAGUGGAAAAGGUUAGAGAGGACGUGGGAAGAGAAGUGGAAAAGGUUAGAGAGGACGUGGGAAGAGAAGUGGAAAAGGUUAGAGAGGACGUGGGAAGAGAAGUGGAAAAGGUUAGAGAGGACGUGGGAAGAGAAGUGGAAAAGGUUAGAGAGGACGUGGGAAGAGAAGUGGAAAAGGUUAGAGAGGACGUGGGAAGAGAAGUGGAAAAGGUUAGAGAGGACGUGGGAAGAGAAGUGGAAAAGGUUAGAGAGGACGUGGGAAGAGAAGUGGAAAAGGUUAGAGAGGACGUGGGAAGAGAAGUGGAAAAGGUUAGAGAGGACGUGGGAAGAGAAGUGGAAAAGGUUAGAGAGGACGUGGGAAGAGAAGUGGAAAAGGUUAGAGAGGACGUGGGAAGAGAAGUGGAAAAGGUUAGAGAGGGG